rnacentral:rRNA from 1 species
GUGAGGAAUAUUGCGCAAUGGAGGCAACUCUGACGCAGCCAUGCCGCGUGCAGGAAGAAGGCGCUACGCGUUGUAAACUGCUUUUAACCGGGAAGAAACCCCAGGACGUGUCCUGGGUUGACGGUAGCGGAGGAAUAAGCACCGGCUAACUUCGUGCCAGCAGCCGCGGUAAUACGAAGGGUGCAAGCGUUAGCCGGAUUCAUUGGGUUUAAAGGGUGCGUAGGCGGCGCGUUAAGUCAGUGGUGAAAUCCUGCAGCUUAACUGUAGACUUGCCAUUGAUACUGGCGCUCUUGAGUGCGCUUGAAGUGGGCGGAAUGUGCCGUGUAGCGGUGAAAUGCUUAGAUAUGGCACAGAACACCAAUUGCGAAGGCAGCUCACUAAGGCGAUACUGACGCUGAGGCACGAAAGCGUGGGGAUCGAACAGGAUUAGAUACCCCUGUAGUCC